rnacentral:rRNA from 1 species
GACAGAGGGUGCAAACGUUGUUCGGAUAUACUGGGCGUAAAGCGCACGUAGGCGGCGCCGUAAGUCAGGGGUGAAAUCCCGGAGCUCAACUCCGGAACUGCCCUUGAAACUGCAGUGCUAGAAUCUUGGAGAGGCGAGUGGAAUUCCGAGUGUAGAGGUGAAAUUCGUAGAUAUUCGGAAGAACACCAGUGGCGAAGGCGACUCGCUGGACAAGUAUUGACGCUGAGGUGCGAAAGCGUGGGGAGCAAAC